CCUACGGUAGGCAGCAGUGGGGAAUAUUGCACAAUGGGGGAAACCCUGAUGCAGCGACGCCGCGUGAGUGAAGCAGUAUUUCGGUAUGUACAGCUCUAUCAGCAGAGAAGAACAUGACGGUACCUGAUUCAGAAGCCCCGGCUAACUACGUGCCAGCAGCCGCGGUAAUACGUAGGGGGCAAGCGUUAGCCGGAUUUACUGGGUGUAAAGGGAACGUAGACGGCAGCACAGGUCUGGAGUGAAAUGCCGGGGCUUAACCCCGGAACUGCGUUGGAAACUGUGCAGAUAGAGUGCAGGAGAGGUAAGUGGAAUUCCUAGUGUAGCGGUGAAAUGCGUAGAGAGUAGGAGGAACAGCAGUGGCGAAGGCGGCUUACUGGACUGUAACUGACGUUGAGGCUCGAAAGCGUGGGGAGCAAACAGGAGUAGAUACCCCUGUAGUC
rnacentral:rRNA from 1 species